rnacentral:tRNA from 1 species
AGAACAUAUGCCCUCCCUAAGACU